UACGAAGGGUGCAAGCGUUACUCGGAAUUACUGGGCGUAAAGCGUGCGUAGGUGGUUCGUUAAGUCUGAUAUCAAAGCCCUGGGCUCAACCUGGGAAUGGCAUUGGAAACUGGCGACCUAGAGUGCGGUAGAGGGUAGUGGAAUUCCCGGUGUAGCAGUGAAAUGCGUAGAGAUCGGGAGGAACAUCCGUGGCGAAGGCGACUACCUGGACCAGCACUGACACUGAGGCACGAAAGCGUGGGGAGCAAACAGG
rnacentral:rRNA from 1 species